GACGAACGCUGGCGGCGUGCUUAACACAUGCAAGUCGAACGGAAAGGCCCUGCUUUUGUGGGGUGCUCGAGUGGCGAACGGGUGAGUAACACGUGUGUAACCUGCCCUUGACUUUGGGAUAACUUCAGGAAACUGGGGCUAAUACCGGAUAGGAGCUCCUGCUGCAUGGUGGGGGUUGGAAAGUUUCGGCGGUUGGGGAUGGACUCGCGGGUUAUCAGCUUGUUGGUGGGGUAGUGGCUUACCAAGGCUUUGACGGGUAGCCGGCCUGAGAGGGUGACCGGCCACAUUGGGACUGAGAUACGGCCCAGACUCCUACGGGAGGCAGCAGUGGGGAAUAUUGCACAAUGGGCGGAAGCCUGAUGCAGCAACGCCGCGUGCGGGAUGACGGCCUUCGGGUUGUAAACCGCUUUCGCAUGUGACGAAGCGUGAGUGACGGUAAUGGGUAAAGAAGCACCGGCUAACUACGUG
rnacentral:rRNA from 1 species